rnacentral:rRNA from 1 species
CCUACGGGGGGCAGCAGUGAGGAAUAUUGGUCAAUGGGCGCGAGCCUGAACCAGCCAAGUCGCGUGAGGGAAGACGGUCCUAUGGAUUGUAAACCUCUUUUGUCGGGGAGCAAAAGACGCCACGCGUGGCGUUCCGAGAGUACCCGAAGAAAAAGCAUCGGCUAACUCCGUGCCAGCAGCCGCGGUAAUACGUAGGGGGCAAGCGUUAUCCGGAUUUACUGAGUGUAAAGGGAGCGUAGACGGCAGCACAAGUCUGAAGUGAAAUCCCAUGGCUUAACCAUGGAACUGCUUUGGAAACUGUGCAG